rnacentral:rRNA from 1 species
UACGUAGGGUGCAAGCGUUGUCCGGAAUUAUUGGGCGUAAAGAGCUCGUAGGCGGUUUGUCGCGUCUGCUGUGAAAACUCGGGGCUUAACUCCGGGCCUGCAGUGGGUACGGGCAGACUAGAGUGCGGUAGGGGAGACUGGAAUUCCUGGUGUAGCGGUGAAAUGCGCAGAUAUCAGGAGGAACACCGGUGGCAAAGGCGGGUCUCUGGGCCGUAACUGACGCUGAGGAGCGAAAGCGUGGGGAGCGAACAGG